GGAUAGGUGAUCGAGUGGUUUAAGGUGUCAGUCUUGAAAACUGAAGUAUGUUAUAAUACCGUGGGCUCAAAUCCCACUCUUUCCU
rfam:Phytophthora infestans T30-4 supercont1.62 genomic scaffold, whole genome shotgun sequence.